AGAGUUUGAUCAUGGCUCAGGAUCAACGCUGGCGGCGCGCCUAACACAUGCAAGUCGAACGAGAAAGCAGGAGCAAUCUUGUGAGUAAAGUGGCGUACGGGUGAGUAACACGUGGAUCAUCUACCCUCUUGUGGGGGAUAACCCUGGGAAACCGGGGCUAAUACCGCAUAAGCUCGAGAGAGGAAAGCAGCAAUGCGCAGGAGGAGGAGUCCGCGGCCGAUUAGCUAGUUGGUAGGGUAAAAGCCUACCAAGGCAACGAUCGGUAGCCGGCCUGAGAGGGCACACGGCCACACUGGCACUGAAACACGGGCCAGACUCCUACGGGAGGCAGCAGUGGGGAAUCUUGCACAAUGGGGGCAACCCUGAUGCAGCGACGCCGCGUGAGCGAUGAAGCCCUUCGGGGUGUAAAGCUCUUUCGGCAGGGAAGAUUAUGACGGUACCUGCAGAAGCAGCUGCGGCUAACUACGUGCCAGCAGCCGCGGUAAUACGUAGGCAGCAAGCGUUGUUCGGAGUUACUGGGCGUAAAGGGUGUGUAGGCGGUCUUCUAAGUUUGGUGUGAAAUCUCCCGGCUCAACUGGGAGGGUGCGCCGAAAACUGGGAGGCUAGAGUGCGGGAUGGGAGAGUGGAAUUCCUGGUGUAGCGGUGAAAUGCGUAGAUAUCAGGAGGAACACCUGUGGUGUAGACGGCUCUCUGGACCGCAACUGACGCUGAGACACGAAAGCGUGGGUAGCAAACAGGAUUAGAUACCCUAGUAGUCC
rnacentral:rRNA from 1 species